rnacentral:rRNA from 1 species
AUUGAACGCUGGCGGCAGGCCUAACACAUGCAAGUCGAGCGAGCGGCGGACGGGUGAGUAAUGUCUGGGAAACUGCCUGAUGGAGGGGGAUAACUACUGGAAACGGUAGCUAAUACCGCAUACCAUCAGAUGUGCCCAGAUGGGAUUAGCUAGUAGGUUGGGUAACGGCCAACCUAGGCGACGAUCCCUAGCUGGUCUGAGAGGAUGACCAGCCAAACGGGAAAUGAGACACGGUCCAGACUCCUACGGGAGGAAGCAGUGGGGAAUAUUGCACAAUGGGCGCAAGCCUGCUGCAGCCAUGCCGCGUGUGUGAAGAAGGACUGCGGGUUGUAAAGCACUUUCGGCGGGGAGGCGUUACCCGCAGAAGAAGCACGGGCUAACGCCGUGCCAGCAGCCGCGGUAAUAC